rnacentral:rRNA from 1 species
GGCGCACGGGUGCGUAACGCGUAUCAAACCUGCCGCAUACUCCGGGAUAGCCUUGCGAAAGUAAGGUUAAUACCGGAUGUUGUUGUUGACCCGCAUGGAUUGACAACCAAAGAUUUAUCGGUAUGCGAUGGUGAUGCGUCUGAUUAGGUAGUUGGUAGGGUAACGGCCUACCAAGCCUUCGAUCAGUAGGGGUUCUGAGAGGAAGGUCCCCCACACUGGAACUGAGACACGGUCCAGACUCCUACGGGAGGCAGCAGUGAGGAAUAUUGGUCAAUGGACGAAAGUCUGAACCAGCCAAGUAGCGUGCAGGAUGACGGCCCUCCGGGUUGUAAACUGCUUUUAGUUGGGAAUAAUGCCGGGGACGUGUCCCUGUGUUGAAUGUACCAUCAGAAAAAGGACCGGCUAAUUCCGUGCCAGCAGCCGCGGUAAUACGGAAGGUUCGGGCGUUAUCCGGAUUUAUUUUUUUUAAAGGGAGCGCACCCGGAUUAUUAAGUCAGCGGUUAAAGGGUGUGGCUCAACCAUACAUUGCCGUUGAAACUGGUAGUCUUGAGUGCACACAGGGAUGCUGGAACUCGUGGUGUAGCGGUGAAAUGCUUAGAUAUCACGAUGAACUCCGAUCGCGAAGGCAGGUGUCCGGGGUGC